UUCAAAUGAUGACCCAUACAGUUCUGCUUCUGAUAGUUUUGAAGACAUCUAUACCACAAUUUCUGAGCA